GGACAACCAAGUUCAACCCUUCUCCCUUAUGAUCAAUUAGAAGGAACAGAGAGACAGCUUAUGACCACUUGGAUCUAUGUAGCAAAGGAAAUGGAUAUACUCAGAUUCAAAAGACAAGUCUUCCUGACUCCAGGCCUGAUGCUCAAUCCGUUGGGCCCCUACUUAAGUGGCCUCCAAUUGUCUCUCAAGACUUAUUUGUCCAUCACCUCCUCUCUCCAAUACUCAGUGAUCUAAUUAAACUCUUUACUCUCUCUG